ACCCGAGCAUAAAAAUCAAGCCAAAGAAUCCAAAAAUAAUAUGUUAGUUCAUAACUAUGAGCUAUUUAAUAUGAAACCUGAUGAAUCUAUUAUUGAAAUAUUUAUUAAGUUCAUUGACAUAAUUAAUGCACUUCAAGCACUCAAUAAUCCUAUACUAACAAUAAAUUGGAAAGAAAUAUUCACAUAUCUCUACUAAGAUCAUGGGAGGCCAGAUGAUGAGCAUCCAGGAGGCAAAGAUUUGAACAAACUUCUAUUGAAAGAGCUCCUGAGUUUUCUUAUGAUCUAUGAGCUGACCUUGAGAAUUUCCCUAUCCCCA
rnacentral:lncRNA from 1 species